GUUGUCGUGGCCGAGUGGUUAAGGCGACGGACUAGAAAUCCAUUGGGGUCUCCCCGCACACUAAACAGCCUCCAAGUGAUAAACUGUUGUGGAUGAAUGGAUAGGAUGAAAAAUUUUAAAUCCUUUUCGGACUCCCCGCACAGGUUCGAAUCCUUCGAGUUUU